rnacentral:rRNA from 1 species
CCCUUAGAUGUUCUGGGCCGCACGCGCGCUACACUGAAUGGAUCAACGUGUUUUCCCUUCCCGAGAGGGACGGGUAACCCGCUGAACCCCAUUCGUGGUAGGGAUCGGAGCUUGCAAUUGUUCUCCGUGAACCAGGAAUUCCCAGUAAGCGCAAGUCAUAAGCUUGCGUUGAUUACGUCCCUGCCCUUUGUACACACCGCCCGUCGCUGCCCGGAACUGAGCCAUUUCGAGAAAAAUGGGGACAGACUGCUUGUGGGUGCGCAAGCACUUCUUGCAGAUUGAAACCAUCUUGAUCGGUAUGGCUUGAACCGGGCAAAAGUCGUAACA